rnacentral:rRNA from 1 species
UAGGGAAUCUUCGGCAAUGGACGAAAGUCUGACCGAGCAACGCCGCGUGAGUGAAGAAGGUUUUCGGAUCGUAAAACUCUGUUGUUAGAGAAGAACAAGGACGUUAGUAACUGAACGUCCCCUGACGGUAUCUAACCAGAAAGCCACGGCUAACUACGUGCCAGCAGCCGCGGUAAUACGUAGGUGGCAAGCGUUGUCCGGAUUAAUUGGGCGUAAAGCGAGCGCAGGCGGUUUCUUAAGUCUGAUGUGAAAGCCCCCGGCUCAACCGGGGAGGGUCAUUGGAAACUGGGAGACUUGAGUGCAGAAGAGGAGAGUGGAAUUCCAUGUGUAGCGGUGAAAUGCGUAGAUAUAUGGAGGAACACCAGUGGCGAAGGCGGCUCUCUGGUCUGUAACUGACGCUGAGGCUCGAAAGCGUGGGGAGCAAACAGG